AUGGCCGCCGGCGUCGCAUCCCAGCUUCCGUCGUCAUCACCACGCGCUGCGUCGCAGCAUCCGCGAUGGCCGUCAGCGCUGCAUCUCAACUUCCGUCGUCGUCACCACGCGCUGCCUCAGAGCUUCCAUCGAAGCAUCAUCGGCGCUGCGAUGGUGACCGCGACGAACGGCCGACAUGGGCACUGCAACUCCGGCGAUGGUUGCCUUGAAGCUGCAAUGGAGCAAAGCUGGCCCUGCAAUGUAGCCUCGCCGGAGUUGCAAUGGAGCUUCGCCGGAUGCACCCGUGCUGCAUUGGAGCCUCGCCGGAUGCACUCGUGCUGCAUUGGAGCCUCGCCGGAGUUGCAAUGGAGCUUCGCCGGACCCAUCGGCGCUGCGUUGGAGCGCCAUUGGACGGCCGUCGGUGCACCAUGA
rnacentral:rRNA from 1 species